rnacentral:SRP_RNA from 1 species
GCGUGCUAGGUGGGGCGGCUAGGGGCGUCCUGUACCCGAAGUCCUCUUCAUGCGGGGCCGAAUGCCCGCCUGAGGGUGGUAUUGAGCAAGGUCUAGCGCCAGGCACGCGGUGUUGACAGAUUGGGUCCCACGCGGCGUGACCCCGUGAAGCGGGUCAGAUCCGGAAGGAAGCAGCCCUAAGCGGAAAGUUGCGGGUGACGUGGGACAGCCCAAUCCGAGCUGGCGACCUGGUUGCGCUUGCCCCUUCCCACUCGAAGGCGGGCUGCACAU